rnacentral:ribozyme from 1 species
CAACGAAGACAACCAGCCCUCGACCUGAGUCGCAACCUUCUUCGCGAGCAUACCAGUCUGCAACCAACCACCAGACAAGACCAAGAUGAGGACAUUGAAGAGCAAUCGCCCCAUUUCGACCAGGACCAAUAUGAGAUGGUU